AACGUAGGGGACGAGCGUUAUCCGGAUUUACUGGGCGUAAAGCGCAUGUAGGUGGCGCGGAAAGUUGGACGUGAAAGCUCCCGGCUUAACUGGGAGAGGUCGUACAAAACUACCGAGCUUGAGGUUGGAAGAGGAGAGCGGAAUUCCCGGUGUAGUGGUGGAAUGCGUAGAUAUCGGGAGGAACACCAGUGGCGAAAGCGGCUCUCUGGUUCAAUACUGACACUGAGAUGCGAAAGCGUGGGGAGCGAACGGGAUUAGAUACCCCGGUAGUCCACGCUGUAAACGAUGGAUACUAGGUGUAGGCGGUCAUUAACCCCGUCUGUGCCGAAGCUAACGCGUUAAGUAUCCCGCCUGGGGACUACGGCCGCAAGGUUAAA
rnacentral:rRNA from 1 species